AUGCUUAAGGGGGAGAUUCCAUGAUCAUGAGGGUGGUUUUCCCAGGGCGAGGCUUUUCCAUUGCACUCCAGAUGUGCUGAUCCCUGCGAUUUCCCCAAAUGUGGGAAACUCGACCGCAUAAUUUGUGGUAAUGGGUGACUGCAUUCACAUUCUCCCC